rnacentral:rRNA from 1 species
UAUAUUGCCCAUGCCCCCUGAACGUGCCUGAUCAUGUCUGAUAUCAGAAGCUAAGCAGGGUCGGGCCUGGUUAGUACUUGGAUGGGAGUUACAACAUUUUUAAAAUCUAUUUGGUUUAAAC